AAAAUGGCAAAUUUUAUAGUAUACAAAUUAUAUCCCAAUUUUUAAAAAAAUGACUAUGCCACUACUUACUGAAUCCACAAUUUCCCCUCCAGAGGCUAAAGAGUGAUUUCAGUUCCAGAGGCAAAGUCCCCACAUGGUCACCAUGUGCUUCUUCAAAACUGACAAAAACUGGACCAGGACUGGUCUGCAAGAAGGGCAAACUUCUCCUUGACUCUUCCUUUCAUGUUUCUCAGACCCGAGUUCAGAGAAAGAUGGGGCAGGCUUGGGGGCCUGGGGGUCUUCCGAGAGGGUACAGAGGUCUUUCUGGAAGGGAUGCAGGACGCUGGAGAUCCCAAGCCUCAGAAGGAACUUUGACCUCCACCGGGUGCUCACUGUGGGACACCUUUCCGCUCCUGCUACAAAACCACUCAGUGCAGGAUGAAUCCUGGAGCCGCAGAAUGGCUUACUGAUCUGCCAGGGCCUCCCAGGAGAGUACAAAUGCCUUGAACCUCCAGGUCUGGGUACGGAGCCUCUUCAAGUCUCUUCAGCCUUGAACAAAAACCCAACAGGACCCAGGACCUCACCCACCUUCUCACUCACAUUCUACCAUCCACAUAACAAGACUUAAAGGUGUUCAAUGCUGGCUGGGCAUGGUGGCUCAUGCCUGUAAUCCCAGCACUUUGAGAGGUUGAGGUAGGCAGAUCACCUGAGGUUGGGAGUUCGUGACCAGCCUGGCCAAUGUAGUGAAACCCCGUCUCUACUAAAAAUACAAAAAUUAGCCAGGCGUGGUGGUACACGCCUGUAAUCCCAGCUACUUGGGAGGCUGAGGCAGGAGAAUCGCUUGAACCUGGGAGGCAGAGGUUGCAGUGAGCCUAGAUAGCACCACUACACUCCAGCCUGGGCAACAAGAGCAAAACUCCAUCUCAAAAAAAAAAAAAAAAAAAGGCCGGGUGAGGUGGCUCACGCCUGUAAUCCCAACACUUUGGUAGGCCGAGGUAGGUGGAUCAUGAGAUCAGGAGAUCAAGACCAUCCUAGCUAACACGGUGAAACCCCAUCUCUACUAAAAAUACAAAAAAUUAGCCAGGCGUAGUGGCAUGCACCUGUAGUCCCAGCUACUCGGGAGGAUGAGGCAGGAAAAUUGCUUGAACUCAGGAGGCAGAGGUUGCAGUGAGCUGAGAUCACGCCAGUGCACUCCAGCCUGGUAGACAAAGCAAGAUUCUGUCAUAAAUAAAUAAAUAAAUAAAUAAAUAAAGGUACCCAAUGCUGUACAUGCAACAAUUUCCUAAAACUACCUCAAGAACAGGAUAUCUGGUUGACUCAAUUUGUAAAAGGGACAUCUAAUUUAUAUGAGAUGCCAGAUAUAUCUGAAUUUUUCUCUCCCCUGGCUGGACACUAAUCCUCACCUGUAAUUGCCAGUAACUUAGUCCCUACCUCUUGUUUCAAAAGCUAAAAUUCACUUUUUUUGUCCAGAAAAUG
rnacentral:lncRNA from 1 species